CGCAUAUCCAUCGGUUGCAAUUGCUGCAGGGAAGGCUGAUAUUCCCCCCUCCCUCUCUCAGCCUCUUGCAGAUCCAGAUCCACACGGGCAUGUUGGUGGGGUGUGCUUGCUGCGGUGGAGGCUAGCUGCGUUGGGGGUGCAUCUCCGGUGAUGCUGACCUGCAAGGCUGCGCGGCUCGUCCAUGCUGGCGGCUGGCUAGGGUUUGGGCAUGCCCAUCUCUAGCCCCACGAUCUCAUUGGCAACCACGGACUCGCGUCAUCUUACGCAUCAGCAGGGACAACUACAGACAUAACUUCCAGGGUAUUUUUGAAGCAACCUCUUUUUUUAUCGCUCAAAGAAAAGCCCUUUUUAGAGGCCCAUAUACUGUGAAAAUAAAGUGCUCCACAAUCAGAUGCCAAUUUGAGCACUUCUAAGCUGAAGAAUGUAAUACCUAGGAGGUAUCACCUGCAGAUGUUGGAAACUCUAUGUGAUACAGUGAUAGCUGGUGGCAGUGACAAUGGACAAGGAGGUAUUACCCUUGACUUUACAAUUUGCAUGACCUAAUCCAAACUUUGUUUGUAUAAUUCUGUCUGAACUGCUUUCUUGAUAAUUUGUAAAGUAUCAUAAGAUCUAAAUUGUUCAACUGUGGGGGUACUUUAGGGCAUUGGAACCAAAUACUUGUAUACACUUACUAUAUUUUUUCCAUACAGUAUUUGAUCAAAUGGACAGAUCUGCUAUAUCUUGCUAAAGGCCAUGGUAUAUUUUUG